rnacentral:rRNA from 1 species
AGGACGAACGCUGGCGGCGUGCUUAACACAUGCAAGUCGAGCGGUAAGGCCUUUCGGGGUACACUAGCGGCGAACGGGUGAGUAACACGUGGGUGAUCUGCCCUGCACUUCGGGAUAAGCCUGGGAAACUGGGUCUAAUACCGGAUAUGACCUCAGGUUGCAUGACUUGGGGUGGAAAGAUUUAUCGGUGCAGGAUGGGCCCGCGGCCUAUCAGCUUGUUGGUGGGGUAAUGGCCUACCAAGGCGACGACGGGUAGCCGACCUGAGAGGGUGACCGGCCACACUGGGACUGAGACACGGCCCAGACUCCUACGGAGGCAGCAGUGGGGAAUAUUGCACAAUGGGCGAAAGCCUGAUGCAGCGACGCCGCGUGAGGAUGACGGCCUUCGGUUGUAACGUACUUCUAGCGAGGACGAAGACGCAAGUAGACGGUACCGUCGUCAGAAGAAGACGACCGGACGUAACUACGUAGCCAGCAGCCGC